CUAGGUGUUCAAAAAAAAAAAACAAUCUUGCGCUAGGGUUCCUUGUGUUGUGUCGCCGCCGCGGCGCUCCUCGACCAGCCCGUCCCCUGCCGCCUUGCCCCUCUCUCUUCCCUCCAGCCUAGACGCCGGCGAUGAGGCGCACAAUGCCCCCACGGCCAUGCUCGAUCGCCUCCAGAACCCUCCGCGCGCGUCGAGGCGAGGCACCUCCUGGGCUCCGUCCGUCACCGCUUCGCCGACGACCCGCACGCGUCUGUCACCGCUUCACCGACGACCCCGCCGCCGGGCAGGAGGAGUGCUUCGGCGCCUCAUCGGCUCCGUCCGUCGCCGCUUCGCGGACGACCCCCACGCGUCUGUCGCCGCUUCGCCGACGACCCCGCCGCCUGGCACGAGGAGUGCUUCGGCGCCUCAUGGGCUCCGUCUGUCACCGCUUCGACGACGACCCCCACGUGUCGGUCGCCGCUUCGCUGACGACCCCGCCGCUGGGCAGGAGGAGUGCUUCGGCGCAUCAUUGGCUCCGUCCGUCGCCGAUUCACCAACGACCCCCACGCCGGGCAGGAGUAGUGCUUCUGUGCCUUCAACCUCAGCCUCCGCGAUGUCGUACUCUACGCCCACCUGCAAGGUCCCCCGCCCCGAAUCCCCCUGGUCCUUCCCAGCAAAUGGAUUUGCUAAAAUUCGAUUGUUCAUCCGGCCUUCAAUGAUGAAUCAAACCUUCUGUAGCUGAAGAAUCCUUUCCACUAAUUUAGGAAGGACUGGAGCUUGCACUUGAGCUUGCAGUCUGAAUUUUCUUCAGGUGAUUGACGUGAUUUCAUUUGGAGAAGCACAUGUUAGGCUGCAGACACCAAUUUUUUAAUUGCUGCUUAUUCCUUGUGGUAUUAUAAAGUUCAGGGUGAUAACCAUCGAGAACAAAGAGCCAAAUAUGACUCUUUUUUCAACUUCUCUAGGAUAAUAUGCAGAUUAACUUUCGAUGAGUGCUAUUCCAAGAAGAGAAAAAGGGUUUUGCCAGAAUGGGACUCGUUUUUUCCAAGCUAAAUGUUUCUUGUAGUUAACUUGAUUCAGCAACUGGCUACUAUUUCAGUUUGAAGAGGAUGCUUUUGUUUCAACUUUAAGAAUGACCAUUGGAUUUUGCUUCAUGAGGUCAACCUUGCACCUCCAGAGACUCUUCAGAGAACUGGUGUUGUACUGGACGGAGAGAAGGGCAUGUUGUGCCUUGCUGAAAUGGGUGAUGUUGAUUAUAUUGAAAGCCAUGCAUGAAUCCGACAACGGAUUCUGGGAAAAGAGAGUUGUCAUACAAUCUUAGGAGCAGAAUUGUGGAAUGCUUUGUUCAUGAUCUCAUGGAUGAUGAUGAUCUACGUAUUUUGGCCAAUAAAUAUUUGGAUGGUCUGCAUACUGCUAAAGGAGUUACAACUGAGCACUGUACUUGGAGAACAUCGCCAUGGUAUUUUCUGUACAAACUCAUCCAAGCUUUUUCUUCUUCUCACGUAGCUUCUUGAUUCUUAUUGAUAGAAAAAUCACCAAGGUAUUUUCUGUAAAAACUCAUCCAAACUUACAUACAUAGAUGACUGGAUGGAUUAGCCACCUCUGUAGCAAUUUCCAAGGUACGAUUAUAAUCUCAUAAUGAUCUGUUAAAUCAGUGUGGGUGUCAUCCUGUUUAUAUAUAAAUGCACACCACUUGCAGCUAUAUAACUCUAUAGUAUGAAGACAUAAAAAGACGAGUGUCUUCUGUUGAUGUUUUACAAACCAUCUUCGAUCACAUCUUAAUAUUAUGUAUUUCAUAAUAGCUUAAUAAUAGUAACUGUUGAACAUUUGACUGCCACAUGGAUGAUGUUUUACAAUUUUCUUUUUGCAUAUUACCAAAAAAUGUAUUGGAGCCCUAUUUGCAAUGGACUAACAGAAGCACACGACACAUAAAUAACAGAUGCUAGCAACAUUGGUAUAUGUUGGCAUUGAAGAAUUACAAUUGUGUUGGUUAUUUUUCACCUUUUGUUUGUUCAUGUAGUCAUUGAAGAAUUUAGAUGACUAUUAUGCAGCUCAAUAUAUUCGUGUCCAAGGCUACGAGUCGUCUGCUGAUGCAUGGUCCUGCCUUCCUUGGCAUAUCUGAUGUUUUUUUUCAUUCAUAUACAACAAAAGGAAAGGAAUGCUCUUGAGGCUUGCUCUCUUAGUGUGAAGGUUUGUUAGUUUUCUUGUAGAUCUGCAGUGGCAUGCUCUAGCCAUAUCGUUUCUGUCCUUCUUAUGUGCUUGUAAUUUGAAGGAAGUCUUAGUGUCGCAACAGUGAUUUCUCUAAUUUUGUAUUUUGCUAAAACACGUUAGAUGGAAAAUUCAAAAUGAUCCUUCUAAAUUUUAGUGGCAUGCUCUAGCCAUAUCACUUCUGUCACUUCAAUUCACAUUGAGUUAAACUGAAUAAUCAGCUUCACCAUCUAAGUUUGCUUUCUUCUUUGUGUCGUAGGAAAAUACAUUCAUUGCUCACACACUUACAGGUUGCUUCUUCAAAAUUGCAUAAACUGGAUAGCCGGGGAAGCUCGCUUCCUCUUGCACAUGUGUACGGUCUGCGCUAUGAUGUACGCCCGUGAAAAUGACAAAUCCGAGAAGGUUCACUAAAUGUUUAUGAAUUGUGGUGUCAUCGCUCUUGUUUCCUCUUGUGUUCAUAUGAUCGAAGAGUUUUUGGCUGAUGAGUUGUGUAGGGUCAAUGCGAGGAAACAAACUUAGUGUGCCUUAUAAGGUCCAACGCGGUGAUCGGAUAACUCUAGCAAGCAUUGAACAUUGAUGUAUCAGGAACAACAGAGACUACUCAAAGUCAGAUCGGAUGAAUGCUCACGCUUUGUGUACAAAGUAGUAUGUGUAGCAUGUUAUUGUUUCCCUUUCUCCUUUUUACUGUCCAAUGAAAUAUUAUGUGGUGUGGCCUCACAAUGUGUCAUUCCCGAAGCUAUCUGCAAACAAUGUUGUAAUCUGAUGUGUUUUAUUCUUUCAACUUAUCAAGUUUCUAAGUACGCACAUCUACAGCUCAAAAUCCACCAUGUAUAGUUCAGCUGAAUUUGCCAUCGACAUCUACAGGUAAGCAUAUGCUCGAUUGCUUGCAUUACAGUUUCAGUGAAGUCCUCGCAGUAUUUGUCACCUCAAAGAAGAUUAAUUCAUUGGCAUUUCAGUGUCUUCAAUUUUCUCAUGUUCAGUUUUUGCGAACCCGUGUAGAUGAAUUUUUGUUUGCCCGUACUACAUUGUAUUCUUGCCUGUAGCUUGGCUAUCUGCGUGUAAAGGAGAAACUGCUUGGCGUCAUCUCCCUUUUAAUAUUCACCGCGUCUCCCCAAGACGCACACUGCUCGACGGCUGCUGCGACGCACUCCCUGUUCCUCAUAGUGGGCCUGCCGGAGGCCGUGCUCUGCUCUGGACACUUGAAUUGAUACACAAAAAGUCAUUUUGGUGGAUGGGUGCAUUGGAGCCCUAUAUUUUGAAUAGUAUCAAAAUGAUAUUUUGAAGUUUCAAAAAAUUCCAGAAACAAUUCCACAUGUUCAUAUGGAUGUAUGUUACACAUGUGCAAAUUCUGAUGACGAAAUAAAUAACCAUCUGAGUUACAAACAAAUGAUAAGAUCGUGAUUUUUGAAAGAUGAACAAUGCAUGUAUUAUUCACUAUUUAGAUAGUCAUUUUGUCAUUUUUGCGUAGCUUACAUGUUUACUUAUUUCAUCACUAAACUUUACACGUGUAAUACCCAUAUUAUCAUGUAGAAUUAUUUUCAGGAUUUUUUGAAAUUUUAAAUGUGGUUCUUAAAUUAUUUAAAAUAAAGCCCUCCAAUGCACCCAUGUUCCAAAAAUUCACUCUACACUGAUACAUUGCAUUGUAAAACACUAUAUGUUGUUUACAGUGAAAGAGAGCCAAGGAAGAGCAAUUUAAUCUCUACUGAAGCUGGACUGGCAGGGGAGGCACACUAUGUCCUUGUCAGUCUGUGGAUUGGGCGGCUGAAUUAAUAUUUUUUCUUAAAAUUUAAUAUACCGAUUUUAUGUUUUCCUGAAUGCAUUGGCGGCGGUUUGUAUAUUCUUGCAGGUAUAUUUUCUAUUAGUUUCAGUGAAAUCAAUAAUUUCUGUGUACCACUAUAAAGAUGGUGGCGAAGAGGCCAUUACUGAGGGGAACGGUGCCAGAUGCAUUAUCAGUGCCACUGGAGGCAAUGAAGGUGCUCAGACCUACAUCAGUGUUGAAUAACGUGGGGAGCUGGAGAAACAUGACAAUGGUGUUGCUUCAUCUUCAUGUUAUCAGGUGAGUUAAAAAAAUCAAACAUGUCAAGUACUGUUGUGUUUGGACUAACCUUUUCACUCUAGAAUCUAGAUCUCAAUCACCAUGGUUAUUUCUGAUCCAAGGACAUAAAACUGGUCUAAUAUGUAUUUUGGCAUUUGUGUAUUUACAAUUUUUGUAAAACAACAGAUGGGAAACAAAAGGGGGAUACGUAUAUUUGGGAUUCCCCAUAGUUGUCGUUUGUUCUUUGAUUGUUUAAAUCCUCCAUAGAAGUUCAGGAACUUC